rnacentral:rRNA from 1 species
GCUUAACACAUGCAAGUCGAGGGGAAACGGCAUUAUGUGCUUGCACAUUUUGGACGUCGACCGGCGCACGGGUGAGUAUCGCGUAUCCAACCUGCCCUUUACUUGGGGAUACCCCGUUGAAAGACGGCCUAAUACCCGAUGUAGUUCAUUGAUGGCAUCAGAUAUGAAUAAAAGAUUUAUCGGUAAAGGAUGGGGAUGCGUCUGAUUAGCUUGUUGGUGAGGUAACGGCUCACCAAGGCAACGAUCAGUAGGGGUUCUGAGAGGAAGGUCCCCCACAUUGGAACUGAGACACGGUCCAAACUCCUACGG